GGCUUGGUAGCUCAACUGAAUAGAGCGUCAUACUUCGGAUGUGAAGGUUAUGGGUUUGAAUCCCCUCCGGGCCA
rnacentral:tRNA from 1 species